rnacentral:rRNA from 1 species
UACGGGGGGAGCAAGCGUUGUUCGGAUUUACUGGGCGUAAAGGGCGCGUAGGCGGCCAGCGCAGGUCGACUGUGGAAUCUCCGGGCUUAACCCGGAAAGGUCAGCCGAUACUGCGGGGCUAGAGUGCAGAAGGGGCAACUGGAAUUCUCGGUGUAGCGGUGAAAUGCGCAGAUAUCAGGAGGAACACCGGUGGCGAAGGCGGGUCUCUGGGCCGUAACUGACGCUGAGGAGCGAAAGCGUGGGGAGCGAACAGG